UUCACCUGGUGUGGGACCUUGAAGAGCUAUAAAGUCAAACCACUCCCUCUACAGCAUGCUGGUUUCAACAAAUCACUCUGGCAUGCAGAUCUAGUCUCCAGCUCCCAGAACCCUUGUGCAGUUUACUCCUGGACCCUGACCUUGGCCUGGAUAUUGGCAUGUGACUUUCUCUGGUACCCUUGGACCUCGGAACCGGCGAUUUGACCCUUCUCCUAGUGACAACCCUGUUUUGGACUUGGCAUUGACAACGAUUGAUGGACUGGUAUACGCGCUGCUGACAGCCUCCUCCAAAGACUCUGGUGGACAACAACAAUACCAAAGCUAUAUUGCCAAUCAGAUUUGGCUGUGUGAAGAAUAACUGAGGGCAAGUGAAUGCAAUGUGAAUACAUCAGUAAACAUUUUCACAAGGAGUGUUGAUUAACGGACAAAAAGCAAAUGUGUUUUUCUGAAUAGUUGAAACUGUUAGUGAAAAACUGCUUUAGCUUAGCUGUACUCAUUACUCCAGCAGAAUGUCAUCUGUUAAGGAGUUCUUCAGUUACUAGCGAAAACAAUACAUGGUAGUUUUUAUUUAACUCUAUGUGGUGCACUGAGCUUAAUUUUCAGGAUUCGAAUAACACAUCUGUCUCUGGACUCAAUAACUUCAACUUAUUUUUCUGUUAUUUAACAGCCUUAAUUUAUAGGCCUUAUUUUCUAUACGUUACCAAAAAUAGAUAAAGUACUUGUAUAUUCUA